GUACGUUUGUGUUUAGUUAAUCCAUUAGUCUGAGAGAAUGAUUUACCACAGAUAUCACAAUGAUAUGGUUUUUCACCUGUAUGAGUACGUUUAUGACUAGCUAAGUGACUUCUUAGAGAGAAUGAGUUACCACAGAUAGUACA